CAUUGCAGCUCCCGGUCGGGGGCGCCUGCGCUGGCCUUCCAGCUCCCUCGCGCUGCCCAGACGAGGUAAACAAAGUGCAAUAUCCUUCCGCGGCCCAGGGUGCCGCCGCGCGCUUGGCUCUGCUGCGCACUAGUUUGAAGGUGCUGGGCUGGAGAUGCCUGGACUCUGAUACCCUCGGUCCUCCCCCAGAUCCAGUUCAUAUCCCCUGCUUUUUCCACGAGAAGCCAGGCAUCCUCUGAGCAUCAAGCUCCCUCUGCUCCGAUGUUGCACUCGCUGAGCAGCUCCUCAGUUUCUUAAGAACGUACUUGCACCAGCAGUAUUGCCGCCGGAGAUAUCAAGAAUUAGUUUCAUUAUCUCUCCCCAACACUCCUCAUUUAAACUGAAAUCUCUUGCUGGCUUUUAGUUUGUGUCAGUGCCUCCCACCCCUCCCCAACUCCCCAGCUUGAGCUUCGAAUAUUUUCAGCACCUUUUGGCUUAAAAUUUUUUAAUCAGUAAUUCUUCCUUCCCUGGACGGUCCCCAGAGUGCUUUGGAGGGAAACUCACCUUUGCACCCACACCUCUAGUGAGCGCUGUUGGCUCCCAGCCAGAUUGCUGAGUUUCAGAAGUCCUCCUACGCCCGGCACGUGGACCACAAACACAUUCAAUGCUGUCAUGGGGGAAGGCUGCAGUUUCACCCUCAGACUAUUUUUCACUUCUUAGGAAGGUUCCAGACCACUGGCUUGGGAAAGAACACAAGAGAAGGGGCCUGUUCAGAUUUUGGACACCCCAGAUUUACCUAAUGUAUCCUGGUAUAUAAGAAGCAAUGUAGUUAGAGGGGACUUAAAAAGAGGCCAAAUCCUGGGAAAGGGGUGUUGAGAGAACUCUGGGAGCCCUCUGUGCUUUUGCAUGCACGUUGGACAUCUUCUCAUGGCACAGGGACCACAUAAUUAAUUGCCCACAGAAGCAUGCAUUUGAAUGAAAAAGAGAGCUAUUUAUAAUUAUGCCCACCCACCGGGGACAUCAGGGUUCCUGCAGAGAUCAAGAGUUCCUGGUGGUGGGCCAGAGGUGGAGGGAGGACACUGCCUUCAUCCUAGAGCAUAGUUUGUAAAGUAGGUAAGAUGGCCCCAUGCCUCCUGGCACAUCUUACAUCUUACUGCCCAGAAACCUGCCUAGGACUCAAUUCCUGAUUCCCAGGGAAAAGAUAGUUUCCCUUAGGCUCCUGUGGAGAGUCUACCCCAUGGGAACACUUGACCAGCACCAGCAACAGCCCCCAGGCAACCUCUGCUCAUGGGACAGAAAGAGAGGUGCCUGGUCUCAGUUUGAUGGCCACCAACAGAGCUUGGUCAAAGGCUUGGGAGAUCUGUGUUUUGGUACUGGCCUCUGAUUUCAGAUGGAAAUUGAGUCCCGACAUAUUUUUUCCUAAUGUGUAAAAUGAGAAGCAUAACAGACUGGCUCACCUCACAUGAUUGUUUCAUGAUUGUGUUUGCAGUACCAGGAACUCUCUGAGGGCUUACUUUAAGUUGGGCCUUGAGCUGGGUGUUAGAGAUCCAGGCAUGAGUAAGAUUACUCUGCCACCCAAGAGCUCAGAGUCUAGCCCUGGAGAAAGAGUGGGGAACAAAUAAUUCAUUGUGUAACAAUGUGGCAAUUAGAAUAUCAGGGCCUCCAGGGAAUACAGAGGAGGGACAACUUUUCCUGGACUUCAGGGAGUUUUCCCAGAAAAUGUGUGUGUGUGUGUGUGUGUGUGUGUGUGUGUGUGUGUAACCUUGAAUUAAUCCAGAGCAAAUAUUUAUUGAAACCUACUAUGUGCCAAACACUGGAUAUGAAGACACAUCAACUUAAAAAUAUAUUUCCUUUCUUCAUGGACCUUGAAAUAGUCCUGUGAGUCAUAAAAUAAUAUGAAUAAGAGAUUGUUGUUGGCAUUUCAGGCAGAGAGAAGGAAUGUGAAAAGCAAAGGAGUGGGCUGUUCUGAACUUCUAGUAACUCACCCAGCUUCACUGUUGAUAGCAUGGCAGCAGUGGCCAGGCAGGUGGCCCACAAACUGGAUUGGGAAGGGGCUGAUGGAUAUAUUUAUGGUAGAGAAGAGGUGGACUCAACCCCGACUUUAAAAUGGGAAGUAUCAUGAUUGUAUUGGGGUUUUAUGAAGAUCAUGAUUGGGGUCACAUGUCAUUAAUUACCACUGUACUUCCAAGGGAAGAAAAUACUGGAGCUUAAACUGAACAAAUGAAGUUAAGUUGACAGUGAUCUGUGACUGAUGCUAUCCAUGAUUGAUAGUGAAUCUAUUACUUCUGAUGAAAUUAUACAGCCGCCAUUACCCUGCCCCUUCUUACAGGCUAAAUUUGUGGCUGAGUGCGAUGCUGGUUGAUCAAAUUCAUGAAGUUAUUGUAGAGCCAGAUAAGUGAGAUAAUUUAUACUAGGCAAUUUGCUUUGCCUCUUGACUCGGAAAAUCUUCUCAAGUUGAAAAAAAAAUAUGGUAAAAAGGUGAAUUUCAAUCUUCAUUUAUUCCCUUUUCAGCCAUAUGAUCUUGGAUUAUUUAGAAUAUCUCAAUCUAUUAAGUAGAGUUAUGAUCAGAAUUUUUCCAACAUGAAAAUCAUGGAAGAUGCAAAUAAAGCAACCAGCAUAGUGACCAGUACAAAAUAGAAACUAAAUAGUUGCCAUUAGUGUUGCCAUUGUUGUAAUCAAUCCACAGAAUGCAAUCCAACAUGGAAGAAGAAGAAGGAGAAGGAGAAGGGGAAGAGUCUAACAUCAAUAAGAAAUGACCUUGUAGUGACUCUGGCAAAAGUUUCUUUGCUCCACCUGUGAAGAAAAAGCUGAAGGAGGCUGAAGGAAGAGUGCAUCCCCUUCACAGCAGCACGACCCUUGGUGAGGCCCACAGAGACCCUGAGCUGCGCAGAGGGGCAAGACAUCAAGAUGCAUUUCAGGUGGUGACGAGGCCCGUGUCCUGCUUCUAGUCUUUGGCCAUGUUGGCUCUGCUAGCUCCAAGUCAAAUCGAUCCAUUUGUUUGGAGAGCUAACUUCACUCACUUCAGUAAUACUGAGAUGUUAAUUCUGCCUUUGGGGCGCUGAACCAGUCAGGUCUUUGUCUCUGUUUUUUCUGCAACACUUCAAAUUGUUAUCCUCACUGUACAGAUGAAAGAACAAGGACCCAGAGAAGAGCAAUGGAUUCUUUCUGUGGUCUUAACCCGUGUUCAACAGCCUUGGAGGCUGUGUGUGUGUGUGUGUGUGUGUGUGUGUGUGUGUGUGUGUGUGUGUGUGUGUUUUGGGGAGAAGGGGGAGCAGGAGAGGGUGUUGAUUCUGAAACUAUAAGAUAUUUCACUACAUCACAUUGCCUGUCAUCAGGUUUUCUAGAAUUGACUAAGCCUUCGGCUUAAGGACCACUUAAAAUCCUCCCAUAACGGUGUGAUUUCCUUGGUCAUUUUCUCUCUUUCUUUCUUUUCUUAAACAGCUCCUGUUUGGGAAGCUGCUUCUUAUUUCCAAGUUGAUUCCUAGGGCACCAUUCACUUGGUGUGUGUUUGACUGUUUGUUGGUGGUUUUUACCAUGGCCGGCUAGGGGAUGAGUUUUUCUCUUUGGACAGACGUAUAAAUGCAGAAGAAAUUUUUGUGUUUGAACUAUUUCUUUUCCAGGCUUUGGUUUCACAUCUUUUCUCCCGUAGGAAUAGUAGUUGUGGAGUGCUCGCAAUUGAGUGAGAUGCAAGAGAAUUUCUGUUGUUCUUCAAUUAGAGGAGGGUGGGAACCCCAAUCUAUGAGAAUUUUCUGGCUACUGCAAAUGGUCUACCAUCCUGUGGAGGAUUGCUGAACAGUCAAUAGAGAAACGUGAAAACAGAGUCCUGACCUGGCAUGCAAUGAGUCCAACCAACGAACGAACCUAUGGGGGUAACCACAGGGAAAGGCCCCACGAGUGUGCGGAACAGGAGAGAGUCCAGUGACACCCAACCUUCCAACCAACCGGAAAGGCUUUGGGCACAAGAAUGAAGCUACAAACUGCCACCACCCGAUGACCUCAGUCAUGCUGUCUGUCAUGAGCUAAAGAGUGAUGGUUGUUUCCCAUCAGUAAGAGCUGAGUUUGAUUUUCGCACAACCAACGGCAACAAUGAAGGGUCACACUGACUUGCUUAGUGAGCCAGUUCCUCUAGGAAGCCUUACCCAGAGGAGUGGGAAGGAAAGAUUCCUGCAGCGAUCACAGUGAUAAAUAAAUAAAUGAAUAAAUCUCAGGUCCUCCAUCCUCUGGUAUGUCCAGCUAAGGGAACAUCUCCUUCCUCGUAUGCAUGGCCUCAGGCGAUGAUAUUUUUAUAGGGAACUCUGCUCCCUCUGUCAUUGAAAAAGCUUCACUUGCCUCUCAGUGAAUCAGGAGCUCCAUGAGUACAAGGGCCGAGUCUAGAAAAUUAUUACCUCUCUGUCCUAAAGGGUGAGAAUCCAUCUAGGUCUUUUGAGAGCCCUCAGCUGUGAUUCACGGCCCCUUAUAUCUAUUUUCACUCAAUAUUUUUCUAGGGAUCUGAGGUCAAGUUCAUUGAUCUUACCAGCGCCCAAUCACGUUGUCUAUGAAAUAAGGGCAUUAGGUUUCCUGAUACUCAAGCCCCUUUCAUCUUUGGCAACAAAGAAUUUGUUCAUCCCUCAUUUUUCAAACUGUAGCACAGAGACCAUGGAGAACCUCAUCAGGGUAUGGAAGGCAACGCUGCUUCUCCAAGAAUGAAGAUGCUGACUGGUAUUCUUUAGGAAUUUGAAUGCAGAAGAGCAUCCAGGUAAAGCAGAAUGGCUUUCCACCCAGUUCUGAUGAAUUUAACAUUUUACAGCUAACAGUCUCCCAUGGAGAUAGCCACAAUAGUUGUCAUAAGAGUGGGAAGAGAUGAGCUGCGGCUGCUAUAGCACAGGACUUGCUCUCCCAGAAAUCUUUUUUUUUUUUAAUAUUUUUGUGAAACAUGGGUGCUGUAGUAAGCAUGACUAAUAUUGUGAUCAUUAUACAUAUGGCCUUAUUUCCUGACCCUGUACCACGCAUCACGUUCUCUAGUGACGAAUGUUCAUGGUCUUUGCUGUUAGACAUCCUUCUUAGCUCCAUAAAUCUUGCUGAUCAUACAAGAUUCAUCUUGAGUACCAGCUCCUUCAGGAAAUCCUGUGUUGAGCUAAGAGUUUUUCCCAUGAGUUUAUCUCUAUCUUAGCCAUGCCAUAUUUUAUUGAAAUUAUCUCUGCAUCUUCCCAUUUUCAGCUUGUCAGUUCAUUAAAGUAAGGACUGCAUUUCCCUAUGGCUGUUUAUGUAGAGUAGAGACUUGCCUGGACAUUAUGCAUGACUGACCUAGCACUUGCAUUUAUAGUUCAUAAAUGGUUUUCAUCAUCAUUCUUGCUAAACAGCUGAACAGAGGCUCAGAGAGGAAAGUGACUCAUUUUUGCAGGGGGGAGGUACCACAGAUUGAACUCAGGGACUCUCGACCACUGAGCCACAUCCCCAGCCCUCUUUUGUAUUCUAUUUGGAGAUGGGGGUCUCACUGAGUUGCUUAGUGCCUCACUUUUGCUGAGGCUGGCUUUGAAUCCGCCAUCCUCCUGCCUUAGUCUCCUGAGCUGCUGGGAUUAUGGGCGUGUGCCACUGCACCUGGCCAAAAAGUGACUUUCUUAAGAUCAUCCAGCCACAGGCAACUCACUCACAGAGGCUUGUUAAUGUUCUUCUCCUACAUCCCAACUGUAUGGGGUGGGGGUUUCUCCCUUGUGGGAGCUCAAGACCUGUCCUCCUCAAGGAUAGAUAUCCUUUGUUUUCAAUGUCUGGGAAAUGCCCCAGGAUUCCCUGCUGCGUUACCCUGGGAGACUAUUGCUCAAUCCCAGCAGCUGUUCUGGAGGAAAAGAAAGAGCAGACAUUCUGAGUGUAUCAUACAUACAAUGCAAUAUUGAACUGAAGAUUGCUAAUGAGCAAGAACUCUUUUAUUGUGCAGUCUACUUCCAGUGAGGUCUAGCUCUUAAUUUUCAGUGGGUGUAGCAGGAAGUACUAGAGUAAAAAAUAAAACAUAUAUAUUACUAAUACUGUUGCUAUAUAAAACAAUAUUUGGCCAAGAUGGUUGAGAUAUGAUUCAGUCCUUGUUCAUCAAGUUGCUAAAUAUUAUUCAGUGAGUGUAGUCGCCAUAUGGUAUAACUUUGAGUUUUCCUGGGAGACCGGGUAAAAUAUUGUGUUGGAUAUAGAAUCUGGAAUUGUGCAUGUCUCUGGUGGAUGAAGCCUGGUUGCAGCUGCAGACUGCUAAUUCCAUUGAGCCCUCCUGCAAAGACUGAAAUGCACAUGGCAAAUGGAGAAGGCAUUGCUCUGCAUGUAUCACUCUAUGAGGUCGGUUUCUUUCAGAAAAUGAUGGAGAGUGGGCAGAACCACACAUCUAGACACAGAUGCAAUCUUUGAAGAAAAAUGUGUGUGGGCAAGUACAGUACCAGCUGGGAAAGUCUAAAUGACUGAAACCCAUGACUCAGAAAUCUUAAAUUGCCUUAAAAUUAAUGAAGCUCUGUGGGGAUGACUCAGUUCAUUCAUGUCCUUAGCUUGCAGGCUCAAAAGCUUGCAGCAGUGGCUUUUGCCCAAAGUUUGGGAGAGCAGAACCCAUAGAGGAAAUGGGUCCCCCACACAGGUUGCUCUGAGGGUGUUCCGGGGGGGAUCUGAGCUAGAGAGGAAGGUGAGCUGGCUCCCAUGGUUCCCAAGGGACGAGUGACCUCAGACAAGUGAAACCCUCUCUGGUCCUGAGUUUCCAUCCCUGUAAAAUGUAAACGAGAGAUCGGAUUUCAAAGUUUUCUUUAGCAUUCAUCUUUUGAUUAGCCAGGGUACCAAUAAGAAACAGGAUAGUCCCCAGAGGGUUCAAAGAAAGAGAUUUUAAUACAGGUAUCCUAGCAGAUGUGUGUGCCAGGUUAGGAGAAUAAACCAUGGAGAGUAAGGCACUCCGACUGGUGAAACUAGGGCGCCAUUACUGCCUCUGUCACCAAAAUGGCAAAGGGAGAAUGGGGUUACUGGACACCCCUGAGAACCAGAACUCUGGAGGAGCCCCCAGGGGGAGCCAGAGUCCCGGGGGUCGGGGAGAAAGCCCCUGCCAGGGAAUGAGGCUCAAGAAGGAGAGAGCAGAAAAGAAAUUACCCAGCUUGGCUGUGGUGAUGCUGUUUGGUUGAACCCAAGGGGGAGUUAUGCAUCGGGGGAGCCCAGAUUAAGCCAUCCGUCGGGGUUGGCUCCAUUUGACACAGAGCAGAGGGCGGAGAAUGGAUGUGCGGUAUAAAAACAGAAAACCCAGGACACAGCCUACGCCAUUAUAAAUGUGAUCAUGCUUCUGUGUUAGGGAAAAGAGCAUCACAUUUUUUUCCCCCUAAAACAGCUGAACAAUUAUUUUCAAGUAACAGAAGUCCAGAGUUCAAGGGCCACCCAGCCUUAGCUUAUUUUGUUAACCUGUAAGAGUGUAGCAUUAUGCCGGUGCCACAAUCAGGAACUAUUUGUUGAAUUAAAAUCUGAUCACAAAUCAAGGCUAUAAACAUCCGUGAGUGUGUAUGGUGUGAUGCAUGGUGGGUGUUCAGUGAAUUAUCUGUUGACUCAGUAAUGAAUGUGUAGGUUCAAAACAAAUUAUGUAAUCUCUCAAAUGAAAGGUUCUGCAGACCUCAGGCAAACACUUGGAAUUUUCGUCCUCUUAGUCGUUUUGAAUAUGAUUUAUGACUGUCAUUGCACAAUCUGUGUAAAUUUCUUGGAUUAUGAAAAUGGGCCCUUUCAUGUGCAGUAAUAAAUUAACAAGCAAGGAAGGGCUUAAAAGAGACAUUUCCUGCCAGUUGUCAGAAUUGAGGCGUUUCACAACAGCAGCACUCACAAACGUGGAAUGCCUAACUUAGUCCAAGGGUCGUGGAAUCACCUCCUGACGCAGACGGGCUCAUGGAGGGGUGCUGUCUACAGUCGGACAGGGCCAGUGUGGACGCCUGCCUCCACUAUUGCUCUCUGACUUGAGACAAGCACUUGACCCGGUGAUCCUCCCUUUCUGGUUCAUGCCUGUCUUGGGAUCAGUGUCAGGAUGGAGUGAGAUGAGUUAUGUCAGGUUCCUUGGAAACCGUCGGGCAUGUAAGAGAUGUUCACUGCCCAGUUCCAUCUUUCUACUGGGCUCCUCAAGUUUCCCAGAGUGGAGUCAAGGGUAAGACUAAGGAAAAGAAAAGAUGUUCUCCGCAUUGUUGUACUUACAACAGUUUUAAAACUUCACGUCUUUUAUUAUGGAGAGAACCCUGUGUGAGAGAGAAGCACACGAAAUGGUAACAAUUUACAGACCAUAUUUCAAUUUUCACUUAUUUUUAAUGUUUAGGAACUGAUGUCACACGUGUCACCUUACUAUAUGGGGCAUCGUAUUUACGUGUCGCCAGUUCUUCUCUUUAGGGUUCAGUUAGCUCAUGAGGCUAGCUCAUGUGCCUAGCUAGCAGCCAUUCUCCCAUGCUUCUGUGACUAUCCAACACCGUUCCCUCCAAAGAGGCAGAAAUGGCGAUGUUUCCCAGCCUUCCAUGUCAAUAAACAAGGCCACGUCAUGGAGUCCUGACCCAUGGAGCUCAAGGACAGUGCACUUUGGAAAGCUUGUAGUAAGCCUUUCCUCUCCAGCGGAAGAGAACACCGAUGGGGAGGAGCCUGCUCCUGCCUUGCAUUUGUUGUGUGAGGUGUGAUGUGACAACUGUGGCAGCAUCUGCAGACCAGACAGAGAAAGCCAGAGGAGGGACAGCAGUUCCCAGAGGAUAAGGCUGGAGUCAUCAAGCUGUGAGAGAACCAGGCCCCUGUCUCAAGAAUUCUAGACUUCUGGGGGAGUAGCUAACUGCUUGAGAUCCUCUUUCUUCUUUAAGAUCAUUGAAAACCUGAAAGUCAGAAACCACAUGUAAGACAAUUUUGAUUCCCCCCAUUCUUUCACUUAUUCACCCGAUCCAACAAAUAAUUCUCUGUUUAUUCAAUAGUUCGGCAUGUAUUUAUGUAACAGGUACCAGUCCUCUAGUGCACUGGUUGGCUUUUGUUGAACUUCAGGACUCCCCUGCAGAAGCUCUCCCUGGCUUCCACGUCUUGGACUGAAUGCCCCCCUUCUGUGCAUCUGUAAGAGCUACUCAUUAUAUCCUUUGUGGAACUAUUGUUUUGCACUGAAAUAAAUUGCUUAUCCAUUUGUCUUUUUAACAAUGAUAUUUUAUAUCUGUCGUUUUCACUUCUAUGGAUUCAACCAACCCUGGAUUAAAAAACAUUUAGUUUCCACAUAUAGGACUGGGAAGGGUUCUAGAAGGCAAGAAAGGGUUGA